CUGCCGGUGGCCGCAGCGCCUCAGGUGGCAGCCCAGGUGGGCGGGAGGGGGCCGGCCGGCUGGCGGGCAGCUGCCUUGCCACUGCGCCGAGCCGGCUCUGGCACGGGAGCGGCCCGCGGCCGAGCGCUGGCUCCCCGCGUGUCUCUCUGGCGUCUCACGGCAGCUCUCGCGGGGGAGGAAGAAGGCGCGCCCGGGGCGCCGAGGGGCUGAACUUUGGAGCCUCUGCUCCUGAUGGGGCCGGUGCCGAGGAGGCGGAGGAGGAGGCGCUGUUGCCGCCGCUGCCCUGUGUGAGGCGAGCUCGCUCCCGCUGGGGCGGCCCGGUGGAGAAACUCCGCUCAGGUCCGCACCCCCUGCUGCUGCCGCCGCCGCCGCCGCCCGGGAGGCGCGGCGCGGGACCGACUCUGCUAGGGGAAGCCCCGAGCGCUGCCCGGCCAUGGAGCAGGGCGAAGGAGGCGCGCUGGAGCCUGGGGCCGGCAUUCCCAGGGUUGAUCCAUAUGGAUUUGAAAGGCCAGAAGACUUUGAUUAUGUGUCAUAUGAAGAAUUCUUUUCUAGAUAUCUGGUGAUACUCACUAGAAGAGCAAUAAAAUGGUCAAAGCUUCUAAAGGGGAAUAAUGGGGUACAGAAAAGUUUAAAAGUGAAGAGAUAUAUCAGGAAAGGCGUUCCCAAUGAGCAUCGUGCACUGAUAUGGAUGAUUGUAAGUGGAGCCCAGGCCAAGAUGGAACAAAACCCUGGAUACUAUAAUAAACUACUUGAGGGAGAGAAAAGUGACAUGCUGGUGGAAGCAAUCAAGACAGACAUGAACAGAACAUUUCCAGAUAAUGUACAAUUCCGCAAAACUGCUGAUCCCUGUUUACAGCAGACACUCUACAAUGUAUUAGUAGCGUAUGGGCACCAUAAUAAAACAGUGGGAUACUGCCAGGGCAUGAAUUUCAUAGCUGGAUACCUGAUUCUUAUUACAAAGAAUGAAGAGGAAUCCUUUUGGUUGUUAGAUGCUCUCAUUGGACGAAUAUUGCCUGAUUAUUAUAGCCCAGAAAUGAUGGGGUUGAAGACCGAUCAGGAAGUCCUUGGAGAACUUGUGAGAAAGAAAGUUCCAGCAGUGGCAGAGUUAAUAGAUCGACAUGGUGUCAUGUGGACUCUGAUAGUGUCACGCUGGUUUAUAUGCUUGUUUAUUGACAUUCUUCCAGUAGAGACUGUUCUCCGAAUUUGGGACUGUUUGUUCUAUGAGGGAUCAAAAAUCAUCUUUCGUGUGGCCUUAGCAUUAAUUAAGCAACACCAAGCUUUUAUUUUGGAAGCCACAAAUCUCCCUGACGUUUGUGAUAAGUUUAAGCAGAUCACCAGAGGGACGUUUGUAACAGAGUGCCACAGCUUUAUGCAGAAAAUAUUUACAGAACCUGGAAGCUUGUCCAUGGCAACAGUUAACAAACUUCGAGAGACUUGUAGAGCAAAGCUGGUUGCUCAGGGAUCAACCAACAAUAUUUAAACAGAUGGUCAGUUACCACAGAAAUUGACACAUUCCUCUACUUUAACUGCACUGACGGAAGCACAAUUUCUAAACUUUCCAUGAGUGUCAAUUGACACUUGACCAAUUUUUCCUGCCUUUCAAAACUAAAGCAACAUUUCAAAUAAAGUACACUGGAAUGUAUGAAGAACGUGGACAACAGACUUUGAACCAACAAACUCCUCACUGAGACUGCUGAAGACUUUUUUGUAGAAGUCAUGCAAAAAGGUUUUAAAUUGCUAAAGCUACCUACUCUCAGCUUUAGGGAUGGUAUAUUUAUGAGACAGAUAUGAACUAAGCUAAGGUAUAGUAUGCUCGAAGGUGAGUGUUCCAAGUUUCAGAAGAAGGGAAGCAAAACAAUCUUACAGAAACACAGUUUGCAGCUGCUUCUGAAGAGCUCUUCAUUUCAACUGAAAUAAGCAGAUUCAAUUGGCAGCGCUGUACUGAAACUGGCAUAAUGCAGACAAUGCAGUGUUAUAGAUGUUGCUUUAUAUAUGGAAAAAACUGGCUUGGGCAAUAGUUCCUUUCCUCUGUAAAAUGCUUUGAGAGCUCCUAAGAUAUAAGGGCUAAAGUAGGUAUCAUCCCCAUUUUACGGAUGAGGACACUAAGGCACAGAGGCAAAAAUUAUUUGAAGGCCACAGCAGAUCAGUAGCAGAGCAGAGCCAAUAGAACCCAGGUCUGAACUCCCCACCCAGUGCCCUGUCCACUGGACCUAGGGCUGUCACCUCUGAGAUACAAAAAACAGACAUCCGGGAUGAUCCUGAGCCCCUAAGACUAGACAGCUUGCAGUGUACACUGAGCAUCUUUACAGAUUUCCUGGGACGGAUACCAAAAAAGGGACAAUGCUGGGAAAACCUGGCUAGGUGGUAACUCUAGCUGUAUCAUGCGGUCUCCAAAGGAAGACCACCACCACAUCUGAACACUAAAAGCAGUAGAAAUUAAAAUAUUCAAAUGGGUAUUUAAUGAGCACAUAUCAUUUGUUGACCUAAUAACUGAGCUACAAACUGGAUAGGCAAACCUAACAGCUUCAGCAAUUGCCCCAAUACACUGGAGCUCUCAUAAAAAAAAAGAAACAAACAGACUCAAGUAGAGUCCAGCUAUACAACUGGCAGACAGACAUCUAGAGAAUUCUCCUGAAGCGGUCCAUAGGAUCUAAAAUUUUUCUUGGCAUAACAGUGGAUUAAGUGCAUACACAAAGCAAGAGAAUCACAGUAUGAAGGGCAUGCUGUCCACUGAACUGAAGGUCACAAUUUAAGAAAGGAGCCAGCAGCAAUAUCUGCAGGAUUUGAGAGACUGUCUACACAGAGGGUACAUCUAUGCAGCAUUUUACAGCAAGCCUCCAAGCCCAGUGUGACACUGUAUGGAAUAUAGGUGACCAUUUAUAAUAUUAUUGCUAUCAGUAUUACAAAAUUGCAAUGAAUCAUACAAGAUAUGCCAUGUAAGGCAUCACUGGAAAAGUUAUGAUUGGCUAAAUAGGAUAUUCAUAACUCAAUACAUAUAAACCUGAUUAUGUGUGGUAUAUUUGUAUAUCAAACUUGUGCUGUGUUUCUGGGGGACGCUCCCAGACAGAUUGACAUCAGCAGUAUCUAGCCUGCUUAAUGGCCCAUGAAGGACAAUCAGCUGUACAAUGAGCUCAUUGAAAAAAGGCAGGGGUUACACCUAUGCGUCAGCAGGACAACAUGUAGGAACAUGUCUGUAGACAUGGACUCCAAAUGCUUUUCCAUGCCCAUGUGAGCUUGUGUUUGGGACAAUGUAUAAGCCACAUGGCAAGGAUAUAAAAAACAAGCAGCUGCAUCUUCUCCAUUGUGUGUUCUAUCCUGCUUCUCACCUCUAGAGUAACUUCUCUACAAACUGAAGCUUUAACAAAGGACUGACAGACCCAUCCAUGUGGAUGUGUUUCAAAGAGCCAGCAAACUUACCAGUGCUGCUACGAACUCUGAUGUCAUAUGUACGUAUUUGACUGCUUUGCAGGGUGGAUAAAAAUCAAUGAUUUAAAAAAAAUAAAAAUGUAAAUUGGAUUUUUUUUAGAUAAAAUGCUUUGAGGAAAAAACUGAUCAAAAGAUGGUUUUAAUUAAGAUACAUUAUAGCUCAAAGAUAUCUCAUCAUGAAAUAGGGAUUAUAAAUUCUAAUUCUAUAGUAAGAGAGAAUAUAUUUAUGUAAUGUUUAAGAAAGAACACAUUUACAAAACCUAAUAGUUCAUGAAUUAGGUAUCCAAAUCUUAUGGGAUUCCAGGGGCUUCUGUAUAGAUUUAGGUUAAUCUAUCUACCAAAUGGGACUCAGUGCUCAGUCUAGAAGAUACCAUCAGAGGUGCUUGGUUUUGCAGUUCUCAAACUGUGGAUUUGUGUCUUCAGAUAUCAUAGAUAACAUCAAAAAUGUUUUUAAAAUAAAUAUAUAGAGGUGAGAAAUAAGAGACCUCACCCUAUUGUCCUCUGCAAAUUUGUGUACACAGAGUCAAUCCCUUAUCUCUCUCUAAAAGUGCAAAGUUUCCAAAAGUUCAAUGAACAGAAGAUUGUUGGGGGUGGAAUAGAUCUGGACAAGGAGAAGUAGUCUGGCGAUAAAUGUGAGAAGGGAAGGACAGGCAGUAGAAACAGAAGUGAAACUGUUUGAGCAGCAUUUUCCAGAAGUCCUGAGGUCUUUCUGAGUGUAGCCUUUAUUGAUUUGAGAUCUACCAUACGAUUCGUUCGCUAGAAGGGAAAACCUAUAAUGGCAGCAGGCUGUAAAAGAGACCCAGUUUGGGAAUAAGAACCAUUCAAGAAAUAUGUGUUUGCUGAUGAUGUUUUAAAGAAAGGCAACACCAGUGAACUGGUGGAAGUCACUUAAGCACUUGGAUUUAGAGACUGUUGAAGUGAUAAUCUCACUCUUAACUGCAGUAGCUUUUUCUGCCGGUGUAGAAAGAAUAUUUUCUUCCUUUGGACUAAUUCAUUCCAAAUUGAGAAAUCAUGUGGGAUCUGAAAAAGCAGGAAAGCUUGCUUUUCUUUUCCAAAUUAUGAACAAACAAGAAAAUGAAGGUGAAGACGACUGAGUUAGCUGCAGAAGCCAAUAUUUUAAGUUUCUCGUGUUGAUGUGGCUGACAUAGUCGAGUUAAUUGGGGGGGGGCGUGUUAAUAUUUCAUUUUUUUUAGUUAAAACAAUUUUUACAGAAACAAACCUGAUUUUAAAAAACCUGAAUGUUUAACUAAAUUCAAAAAUUCAUAUGCUUGCUUUAUUAAAUUAUAUGUUUGCUGUUGAAGAAAAAAAAUCCACGAUACAUAACAUUGUUUUAGUUAAAUAAAAAUUUAAAUGUCUGUCUGAUGAUGUUCUCCUCCUCAUAUAGGAUGGCAAGAAAAUCCUCCAAAUAUUAAUGAUUAACCUGUUGAAUUGGAGAUAGUUCACCUCCCAAUGACUUCAUAAAUAUCUGCUCCAAUUACCUCUGAUAAAUGAAAUAACCAAUCAUUCAUUUUCUGAUAUAGCUGUCAAACUCAUCUAAAAAGUUGUCAAAAUAAAUCACUUAAAAAAUU